GCGCCCGUAGCUCAGGGGACAGAGCGUCGCACUGCGGAUGCGAAGGCCGGAGGUUCAAGUCCUCCCGGGCGUA
rnacentral:tRNA from 2 species